GUUGAAUAUGAAGAUGGAGAUAAAGAGGAUUUGAUUCUUUCAAAUGAGAAAAUAAAAUUUUUUAUUUCUCGGGAGGAGAUGGAGCGGUUGAACUUGACUUUCAGUAUAAAAAAUACAGAUGGUGAUAACUAUGAUUAUGAUGAGAUGGUUGUGUUAGCUGCCGUUUUGGAUGACUGCCAAGAUCUUGAGCCUGGGGAUAUUAUAUGGGCAAAACUUACUGGUCAUGCUAUGUGGCCAGCAAUUGUUGUGGAUGAAUCACUUAUUGGCGAUCGUAAAGGCUUAAACAAAAUUUCUGG
rnacentral:misc_RNA from 1 species